rnacentral:rRNA from 1 species
CGCGUGAGAAUCUAGCUUCAGGUCGGGGACAACCACUGGAAACGGUGGCUAAUACCGGAUGUGCCGAAAGGUGAAAGAUUUAUUGCCUGAAGAUGAGCUCGCGUCUGAUUUGCUAGUUGGUGUGGUAAGAGCGCACCAAGGCGACGAUCAGUAGCUGGUCUGAGAGGAUGAUCAGCCACACUGGGACUGAGACACGGCCCAGACUCCUACGGGAGGCAGCAGUGGGGAAUGUUCCGCAAUGGGCGAAAGCCUGACGGAGCAAUACCGCGUGAGGGAGGAAGGCUCUUCGGUUGUAAACCUCUUUUCUCAGGGAAUAAAAAAAUGAAGGUACCUGAGGAAUAAGCAUCGGCUAACUCCGUGCCAGCAGCCGCGGUAAUACGGAGGAUGCAAGCGUUAUCCGGAAUGAUUGGGCGUAAAGCGUCCGCA